GUAGCUAGGUUCUUUGCGUCGGCUUUUGUCUAUGAAAUUAAAUGAGCUGCACUCAUAUCAGUUUUUUAAGUGGACUUGUUUCCAUGUCUUAACUCUUUUCCUAACAUACUAACGUAUUAUUUUCAUAUAGUUUCCUGUUGUGAGUCAGCAAUGUUCAGAUAGUAAAAUUUCUGAUAUCAUACUUAAGCAUGCCGAUCGCUAGGUUACGGAUACGUGAACACACCAAUACCAGUUGUCAAGCGGUAGUGGGGAACAAACACACUCAUAUAUAUCAGUUUGGAUGAAAGGCAAAGUCGACAUCGGCGGAAUAUGAACUCAGAACGGGAAAACGGACGAAAUGCCGCUAAGAUUGUAUCCGGUGCGGUAACAAUUCUGCUAGCUCGUCACCUUAGAAAAUAAUAAUGGCACACCCUCAGCUUACUCAAGAAAUGAAGAAGCAUGCUAUUAUUGUGGUUAUAAAAGCUGAGCAUAGCGAUUUAGAAAUAUUUUGAUUUUUAAAAGUUACCAGAUCUUUCGUCUACAAAGUUUGUAAGAAACUAUAGACUGAAGAUGGAAACGUGUCACCAGUAUCAAAGCAUAAAAAGCAUUCUAAACGCUCUGAAAUCAUCAGAACACCUGGAUUUAUCCAGCAAGUUCAACCGACCAUUGAUUACAGUCCCAGAAAGUCCAUGAGGUAAAUUGCAGAAGAUCUCCAUGUAUCAGAAGGAACAAUCAGAAAUGUUGUCCACAAAGACAUCAGAUAGAAGUCUUAUUUGAUGAGGAAAAGUCAAUUUGUGAGAAAAAGUAAAAAAAAAAAUCACUACAUCAGAUCUAAAAGCCUCUUAAACAAACUGAAGACAGUGUUUACAAUGGAAGGCCAUAUGAGUUUCAAUAAUAAGACUCUGCACUAUCACAUAGAGCUCUAUGGCUGAAAAUGUUCAUGAUCAGAUAACCCCUAACGUUUGGCCUCCUAAUUCCCCAGAUCUCAAUCCACUGGACUAUUACAUGUGGAGCGUUGUUGAGAGAGAGAGAGAGGUCAAUGAACACGCCCAUAACAUCAAAUAUUCAUUGAAAGCCACCAUCGUCAGAGUAAUGUCCAAAAUGAACCAGGACCACUUGAUUCAAGCAUGUAGAUGAAUUAGGUCUCAUAUAGAAGCAGUUGUUGAGCUGAAGGUGGCUUUAUUGAAUAAUAUUACAGAAAAGAAGGGUUAUUUUUUAUCCUCAUAUAGCAUUUUUUGAUAAAUAAAGUUAUUAUCCGUUAUUA